GUUAAGCGACUAAGCGUACACGGUGGAUGCCCUGGCAGUCAGAGGCGAUGAAGGACGUGCUAAUCUGCGAUAAGCGUCGGUAAGGUGAUAUGAACCGUUAUAACCGGCGAUUUCCGAAUGGGGAAACCCAGUGUGUUUCGACACACUAUCAUUAACUGAAUCCAUAGGUUAAUGAGGCGAACCGGGGGAACUGAAACAUCUAAGUACCCCGAGGAAAAGAAAUCAACCGAGAUUCCCCCAGUAGCGGCGAGCGAACGGGGAGGAGCCCAGAGCCUGAAUCAGUGUGUGUGUUAGUGGAAGCGUCUGGAAAGGCGCGCGAUACAGGGUGACAGCCCCGUACACAAAAAUGCACAUGCUGUGAGCUCGAUGAGUAGGGCGGGACACGUGGUAUCCUGUCUGAAUAUGGGGGGACCAUCCUCCAAGGCUAAAUACUCCUGACUGACCGAUAGUGAACCAGUACCGUGAGGGAAAGGCGAAAAGAACCCCGGCGAGGGGAGUGAAAAAGAACCUGAAACCGU
rnacentral:rRNA from 1 species